rnacentral:rRNA from 1 species
CCGGACACGUGAAACCCGGAUCGAACCCGCGGGGACCACCCCGCAAGGCUAAGUACUAACGGUGACCGAUAGUGAACCAGUACCGUGAGGGAAAGGCGAAAAGAACCCCUGUGAGGGGAGUGAAAUAGAUCCUGAAACCGCAUGCAUACAAGCAGUGGGAGCCGACUUGUUCGGUGACUGCGUACCUUUUGUAUAAUGGGUCAGCGACUUAUAUUCAGUAGCGAGGUUAACCGUAUAGGGGAGCCGUAGAGAAAUCGAGUCUUAAUAGGGCGUUUAGUUGCUGGGUAUAGACCCGAAACCAGGCGAUCUAUCCAUGAGCAGGUUGAAGGUUGGGUAACACUAACUGGAGGACCGAACCCACUGUCUUUGAA